rnacentral:rRNA from 1 species
UACGAAGGGUGCAAGCGUUACUCGGAAUUACUGGGCGUAAAGCGUGCGUAGGUGGUGAGUUAAGUCUGUCGUGAAAGCCCCCGGCUCAACCUGGGAAUGGCGAUGGAUACUGGCUCGCUAGAGUGCGGUAGAGGAGAGUGGAAUUCCCGGUGUAGCAGUGAAAUGCGUAGAGAUCGGGAGGAACAUCAGUUGCGAAGGCGGCUCUCUGGACCAGCACUGACACUGAGGCACGAAAGCGUGGGGAGCAAACAGG